CUUCUCAAGGUGAGCUGUAGCUUUCUACCACCAGCACCUGGCCAGCUGCUCGCGCCGUGCAAGUGCUGCGGUGCCGUCAGCCCUCCCUGCCUUGGGCUCCUUGUGCGCCCAGUGCCUCAGCCGUCACAAGGACGUCCCACAUCCUCCCUGUUCCUCCCCUGCAGGCCCCCUGGCUGCUGGACAUGGUGGUGUCCCGAGCGGCACCGGUGGCCUCCCUGGCACUCUCUGGCUGCCUCGUCGUCUUUCCCAAGUGAGUAUGUUGGGGGCUGUAGCUGCUGCUUGCUGCAGCUGCUCAGCUCUCAUGCCGUAGCAUUUGUUCCUGGUGACCAUGGGUGUCCCUGCCCUGCCCACGAGGAUAUGGCAUAGAAUCAUCGCAUCAUUUGAGCUGGAAGGAACCCGGAAAGGGCACCUAGUCCCACUCCCCUGCAGGGAACAGGGACACCUACCGCCACAUCAGGUUGCUCUCAGCCUGGCCCUGCUGAAGCCUUUAGAAAGCAGUGGCCAUCAUGCAGCAUGAAAAUGGGCCUGUCAGCAGGCAAUCAGAGAGAGCAACAAGGAUUGGUGGAGCGCUGCGUCCCACCGCUCACUGUCGUCUCCUCGCGUACAGGUUUCAAAUGGAGUUUGUACCCAAACCACCACCUGGGAUAUCCCGCAGGUCCUCAGGAGGCAUCCCUGCGGAGGGGAAACCAAAGGAAGAGGAGGCUUUGCCACCUCUCGCACAGGGCAAGAAAGUGAGAUUUGCUGGCAAGCCAACCUACAUCAAACGCUUGAGCUCGGACAGUCUAGAUGGAGGAAAACUCCGAAGGAUAAGGAGCUUACUGCGCAAGGAGAGCUCUACGUCCAGUCUGCUGCCAGCCAUCCCUGGAGUGCCUGAAGACCAAAAGCAGCCGCUGACCUGCCAGCUGCAGGGCCAGGCAGAAACAGACAGCCAAGAAGACCUGGGCCGAGCCCCGGGAACCAAACACGUGAGCUUCCGUGAGGAAGAACGGGAAGCGGAAAAAGCCCAUCGUGUGGCUGCGGUGCUGAAGUUGCCCAAAGCCAACGAAUCUUUCAGCAACGAUUCCAGACCUUCCUCAAGGGCUCAGUCCAG
rnacentral:lncRNA from 1 species